ensembl:snRNA U6 U6 spliceosomal RNA
GUGCUCAUUUUGGCAGCACAUAUACUAAAAUUGGAACUAAACAGAGAAGAUUAGCAUGGCCCCUGCACAGGGAUGACACACAAAUUCGUGAAGCAUUCCAUAUUUUU